rnacentral:rRNA from 1 species
CCAAUAGCGUAUAUUAAAGUUGUUGCAGUUAAAAAGCUCGUGGUUGAAUUUCGGGAUCAGUACGCUGGUCAUGCCUUUGGUAUGCACUGGUGUCACUGGUUUCUCCCUUCUGAAGAACCGUGAUGUCAUUAAUUUGGUGUCGCGGGGAAUCAGGACUGUUACUUUGAAAAAAUUAGAGUGUUUAAAGCAGGCUCACGCUUGAAUACAUUAGCAUGGAAUAAUGAAAUAGGACGUUUGACCCUAUUUUGUUGGUUUCUAGGAUCGACGUAAUGAUUAAUAGGGAUAGUUGGGGGCAUUAGUAUUCAAUUGUCAGAGGUGAAAUUCUUGGAUUUAUUGAAGACUAACUACUGCGAAAGCAUUUGCCAAGGAUGUUUUCAUUAAUCAAGAACGAAAGUUAGGGGAUCGAAGACGAUCAGAUACCGUCGUAGUCUUAACCAUAAACUAUGCCGACUAGGGAUCGGAUGAUGUUAAUUUUAUAAUGACUCAUUCGGCGCCUUACG